AGAGCGAACGCUGGCGGCGUACUUAACACAUGCAAGUCGAACGAGGAUCAUCGGGUUAGCAAUAAUUCGGUGGUCCUAGUGGCGCACGGGUGAGUAACACGUGGGUGACCUGCCCUUGAGCUCGGGAUACCCCCUCGAAAGGGGGGCUAAUACCGGAUACGUUCCUCGGUCGAAAGACUGAGGAGGAAAGGUGGCGCAAGCUGCCGCUCUUGGAGGGGCUCGCGGCCUAUCAGCUAGUUGGCGGGUAACGGCCCACCAAGGCUAUGACGGGUAGCUGGUCUGAGAGGACGACCAGCCACACGGGGACUGAGACACGGCCCCGACUCCUACGGGAGGCAGCAGUGGGGAAUUUCCGCAAUGGGCGAAAGCCUGACGGAGUGACGCCGCGUGUGGGACGAAAGGCCUCGGUCGUAAACCGAACUGUCAGUGGAAAGAAUAGGGUGGUCGGUGCGUAAUAACCAAUACGGCAUCUGACGGUACCUGCACGAGGAAAGACCCGGCCCGAACUACUGUGCCAGCAGCCGCGGUAACG
rnacentral:rRNA from 1 species